UACAGAGGUCUCAAGCGUUGUUCGGAUUCAUUGGGCGUAAAGGGUGUGUAGGUGGCGCCGUAAGUCGGGUGUGAAAUCUCGGGGCUUAACUCCGAAACUGCAUUCGAUACUGCGGUGCUUGAGGACUGGAGAGGAGACUGGAAUUCAUGGUGUAGCAGUGAAAUGCGUAGAGAUCAUGAGGAAGACCAGUGGCGAAGGCGGGUCUCUGGACAGUUCCUGACACUGAGACACGAAGGCCAGGGGAGCAAACGGG
rnacentral:rRNA from 1 species